GAUGAACGCUAGCGAUAGGCCUAACACAUGCAAGUCGAGGGGCAGCACAAGGUAGCUUGCUAUCUGGGUGGCGACCGGCGCACGGGUGCGUAACGCGUAUGCAACUUGCCCUAUACAGGAGGAUAACCCGUCGAAAGACGGACUAAUACUGCGUAUGCUCACAACUUGGCAUCAAGUGGUGAGGAAAGAAAUUCGGUAUAGGAUAGGCAUGCGUCCCAUUAGCUUGUUGGUGAGGUAACGGCUCACCAAGGCAACGAUGGGUAGGGGAACUGAGAGGUUUAUCCCCCACACUGGUACUGAGACACGGACCAGACUCCUACGGGAGGCAGCAGUGAGGAAUAUUGGUCAAUGGGCGCGAGCCUGAACCAGCCAAGUCGCGUGAAGGAUGACUGUCUUAUGGAUUGUAAACUUCUUUUAGACGGGAAUAACAAGAGUCACGUGUGACUCCCUGCAUGUACCGUAUGAAUAAGCAUCGGCUAACUCCGUG
rnacentral:rRNA from 1 species